GGGCCGUUAGUUCAGCGGGAGAACGCUUGGUCGACAACCAAGAGGUCGCUGGUUCGAUCCCAGCACGGCCCACUA
rnacentral:tRNA from 3 species